rnacentral:rRNA from 1 species
AGGACGAACGCUGGCGGCGUGCUUAACACAUGCAAGUCGAGCGGAAAGGCCCUUCGGGGUACUCGAGCGGCGAACGGGUGAGUAACACGUGAGCAAUCUGCCCUUAGCUUCGGGAUAGCUCCGGGAAACCGGAAUUAAUACCGAAUAUGACUGCGGCCGACAUCGGCUGUGGUGGAAAGUUUUUCGGCUAGGGAUGAGCUCGCGGCCUAUCAGCUAGUUGGUGGGGUAAUAGCCUACCAAGGCGACGACGGGUA